GACGAACGCUGGCGGCGUGCUUAACACAUGCAAGUCGAACGAAGAGCCACGGAAGCUUGCUUCUAUCAAUCUUAGUGGCGAACGGGUGAGUAACGCGUAAUCAACCUUCCCUUCAGAGGGGGACAACAGUAGGAAACGACUGCUCAUACCACAUACUACCUAACCUCGGCAUGGAGUAGAGAGGAACGGUGGCCGCGACAGGUAUGCUAGCAUAUAAGCAGGUGAUUGCGGCAGAUUAGCUAGAUGGCGGGGUAAGGGCCCAUCAAGGCGAGGAUCAGUAGCCGGACUGAGAGGAUGAACGGCCACACUGGGACGGUGACCGGGCACAGACGCCUACGGGAGGCAGCCGGGGGGAAUCUUCCGGAAUGGGCGGAAGUCUUACGGAGAAACGCCGAGGGCGGGAUGACGGCCGUCGGGUUGGAAAGCUCGGUUUAUCGGGACGAAACGCCUUCUUGCGAAUAGUGAGAAGGAUUGACGGUACCGGAAUAGAAAGCCACGGCUAACUACGUG
rnacentral:rRNA from 1 species